CCCUACGGGGGGCAGCAGUGAGGAAUAUUGGUCAAUGGGCGGGAGCCUGAACCAGCCAAGUCGCGUGAGGGACGACGGUCCUAUGGAUUGUAAACCUCUUUUGUCGGGGAACAAAGGCGCCCACGGGUGGGCGGAUGAGUGUACCCGAAGAAAAAGCAUCGGCUAACUCCGUGCCAGCAGCCGCGGUAAUACGGAGGAUGCGAGCGUUAUCCGGAUUUAUUGGGUUUAAAGGGUGCGCAGGCGGGCUGUUAAGCCGGCGGUAAAAAUUCAGGGCUCAACCCUGUCGAGCCGUCGGAACUGGCAGG
rnacentral:rRNA from 1 species